GACGUAGGGUCCGAGCGUUGUCCGGAGUUACUGGGCGUAAAGGGCGCGUAGGCGGCUUUGUGCGUCACACGUGAAAGCCCCUGGCUUAACCAGGGAGGGUCGUGUGAAACGGCGAAGCUGGAGGCAGAGAGAGGCUGGUGGAAUUCCCGGAGUAGUGGUGAAAUGCGUAGAUAUCGGGAGGAACACCGGUGGCGAAGGCGGCCAGCUGGCUCUGACCUGACGCUGAGGCGCGAAAGCUAGGGGAGCAAACAGG
rnacentral:rRNA from 1 species